rnacentral:rRNA from 1 species
CUGAAGAGUUUGAUCAUGGCUCAGAUUGAACGCUGGCGGCAGGCUUAACACAUGCAAGUCGAGCGGUAACAGGGGUAGCUUGCUACCCGCUGACGAGCGGCGGACGGGUGAGUAAUGCAUAGGAAACUGCCCAGUAGUGGGGGAUAGCCCGGGGAAACCCGGAUUAAUACCGCAUACGUCCUUCGGGAGAAAGCAGGGGAUCUUCGGACCUUGCGCUAUUGGAUGUGCCUAUGUCGGAUUAGCUGGUUGGUGAGGUAAUGGCUCACCAAGGCGACGAUCCGUAGCUGGUCUGAGAGGAUGAUCAGCCACACUGGGACUGAGACACGGCCCAGACUCCUACGG